rnacentral:lncRNA from 1 species
GACUGGCGGGACUGCGCGGCGGCGACUACAGACGUGUCGGGGGUCCGGGGCCUGUCGCGGUUGCCAAGCGCUCGGCGCUUGGCGCUGGCGCUGGCCAAGGCGGUAGAAAAUUAUGGCAUGCCGUUUAGCAGAACUGAAGAUGGGAAGAUUUAUCAGCGUGCAUUUGGCGGACACAGCCUCAAGUUUGGAAAGGGCAGGCAGGCCCAUCGGUGCUGCUGUGUGGCUGAUCGGACCGGCCACUCAAUAUUGCACACCUUAUAUGGGAGGUCUCUGCGAUAUGAUACCAGCUGUUUUGUGGAGUAUUUUGCCUUGGAUCUCCUGAUGGAGAAUGGGGAGUGCCGUGGUGUCUUCGCACUGUGCAUACAGGACGGGUCCAUCCAUCGCAUAAGAGCAAAGAAUACUAUUGUUGCCACAGGGCUACGGGCGCACCUACUUGAGCUGCACGUCUGCCCACACCAGCACCAGCGACGGCACGGCCAUGAUCACCAGGGCAGGCCUUCCUUGCCAGGACCUCGAGUUUGUUCAGUUCCACCCCACAGGCACAUAUGGUGCUGGUUGUCUCAUUACGGAAGGAUGUCGUGGAGAGGGAGGCAUUCUCAUUAACAGUCAAGGCGAAAGGUUUAUGGAGCGAUACGCCCCCAUCGCGAAGGACCUGGCGUCUAGAGAUGUGGUGUCUCGGUGGAUGACUCUGGAGAUCCGCGAAGGAAGAGGCUGUGGCCCUGAGAAAGAUCACGUCUACCUGCAGCUGCACCACCUACCUCCAGAGCAGCUGGCCAUGCCCUUGCCCGGCAUUUCAGAGACAGCCAUGAUCUUCGCUGGUGUGGACGUCACGAAGGAGCCGAUCCCUGUCCUCCCCACCGUGCAUUAUAACAU